AGGGCCGGGGGUGGACCCUCCUUACCAAAGCCUGAUGUAGGUAAUGUGCAGUGUCCACACCAAAUGGCUGGAUGAAAAAUUGAGAGAAAGCGCCCAUGAAGACGGAGGAGUGCUCCCUUCAUGCUGAUGCCCAAACACACCGCCCUUUCACGGUGGUAACAGGGGUUCGAAUCCCCUAGGGGACGCCUAGGACUCCGCCCUUUCCCGGGAAAAACGGGGGCAUCCAUCCACUUGAUAUUUUAAUGCCUACAACGUAUCCUAAACAUUAUUACCAAUAAUCUUGAUUUUUAAUUUUUGGUCUUUAACAAUCUAGAACGAUCUUAAAUUUUAAACAAUGCGGUUAAACAUAACUCUACGCGGAUAACUGAAAUUCUACUUGGCUGUCUGAGAUGCUCUUUGAUUGUCUCAGAGCGACUCAGACAAUCUGUAUCCAAAAGACACCUGCAGACCGUGAGGUUGAGCGGCUAAGCGACCACGGGGGAUGCCUUGACACCUUGGCAUGCC
rnacentral:misc_RNA from 1 species